ensembl:lncRNA
GGAUGGUCAACGAAUUUGCCAAUCUUGCUUUGGUAAAUGUCCUGAGGCAUGAAUGUUAAUGAGGUUACGUGAUCAAACGCUCGAAGCAGUCAAGCUAGCAAGCAAGGAAAAAAAGUUACUAAAGUACAUGACGUAUGUGUGAUGCUGGCUCAGGGAAAAUGUCAUCUUGCAGCAUCGUGAGGGUCCAGUGUCUCAGCCAUUUGCUUUGAUCAGUGCGAGGCGAAGGUCUUGGACUGUAAACUGCAUGAGCACCCGUCCAAAUAAGACACAAAGGCCUCAAAACACAACCAUAGCGACAGACAGAGAUGCAGCACACAGCUUUUAAAGGAUCGGAAACUCUGAGAGGGAAGAAGAAAGAAGCGUUCGGUGAUAAGGUGUACCUGUAUUUGUAAGGCAAUAAAGGAGAGGUCACAAACAACAGGAAGUGCAGCAGGGGGAGUGAGAGGUAAACAGGAAUCUGUUGUCAUAUGUGGAACUGAGACAGUGAUGAAUACAAGAAAACAAACACAUCUUUAUGUAGGCGUUCACAGGGCUCACGGUCUUCAAGCCACCAGCAUCUGAUAUCAUGCACAAGUUCUUGCUGAAGGACCUAAGUUCUCUUAGCCGGAGGCUUGAGCACCUGCACGCAGUGACCGCUGGUGGCUCUAGGACAAGAGGUUUGAUUGACAGCAGCCCCGGCUGGAGUGUUAUUCAUAAAGAGGAUGUAACACACACUGAUAGACGUCUUUAUACAGCUGUCAUUCCAGAGCUGUCUGUUCUUCAUCUCAGAGUAAAAAAAAAAGAAAAGGCAUGCAUUUUUAGGUAAGCUGAAAGGUGGAGAGAAUUUGAUAUGCGCUUAAAUCAUCUGAACGGGUGGCUGGACAUGAUGAGGUGCUGAUUGCCCACAGCCAGACGCCAAACAGCUCGAGCAGUGAGAGGGACUUUCAUGAAGAGCAGGACAACAUUUCAAGUGAGCGAAAAUGGUUGAGUGGUAAGGAGGAGCAAAAGAGAGAGAGGGCAGCAAUAGGACAGGCAAGACCUGACCAUAAUGCAUCUCUUUUUAGCCACUUCACUUGUGACGCAGAGCACUAAGGGCUCCGUAGGCCAGUACAGUGCCGUCCACUGUGUGCAGAGCCAACCACAGAACUCUGUCACCUCAGCAGGCAGUGGAAACCCCUCUGUGGCACGCUAACCGAACCCCCAAAUGGCCUCUGCUGGCCAGCGUCUGCUAGGUAAUGCUGUUAGCUUGCAAUUUGGUUGAUUAAUUGAUUUAGUUGAUUAAUAUUUGUGGAGAAUUUAGUUCUUAACGGUCUACAAUUAACGCUGACAGUCAGAGAGCAAACUGCAGACAUGCAUGCAACAUUUGUCAUCAUGCACGCUGGCCCUUGAAGACAUUAAGCUGUUGACACAAAAAUAAGUGCACAGGUGUACCUGUUAAAGAGUGUUAGCAGUGUCCACUGCAUUGCUUUGACUUAGUGCUGCUGUCAGUUUCAAUUAAAAUCAAAUAAACUUAUUAUGUUAACUGCACUGAUAUGAUCCUUCACCCCGUGGGAGUGACCUAAAGUGAAGCGCUUUGGUCUUACUAGCCAAGCAUCAAUAGUAAUUGAUUAAACAAUGAAAUUUCCAGCACUGAAUAACAUUUUUAAUCUUAAUCUUUAAUGAUCUUUUCACUUCCAGGCUGUUCCAGGUUUAUUUUUUAUUUAUUUAUGUAUUUUUAUUUUUUUGGACAAACAGCAUGUGGAAAUGUUAUUGUUAUCCAAAAAAGAGCCCAUUGCUAAGUGUCAGGGUUAAUAUAAUUUAUAAAUAAUAUCAAAAUUAAUUUUUAUAUUUUGUAAUGAAAGUGCUGCUUGCUAGGUCUUGGUUGCUAGGAUCUUGCUAAGUUGUUGUCGAAAAUUAAACUAAAUUAAAUUAUGCACCUCCAAGUCUGGUCCCUGUAUUAUACAUCUUCAGAAACGUAAAUAUUAGAAACAUCAUAAAAUCUUGCCACCUGAAUAGUAACCAUGUUUGUCUGUUUGUUUUCACCUUAAGAGG